rnacentral:rRNA from 1 species
UACGUAGGGUCCGAGCGUUGUCCGGAAUUAUUGGGCGUAAAGAGCUCGUAGGCGGUUUGUCGCGUCUGCUGUGAAAUCCCGAGGCUCAACCUCGGGUCUGCAGUGGGGUACGGGCAGGCUGGAGUGCGGUAGGGGAGACUGGAAUUCCUGGUGUAGCGGUGAAAUGCGCAGAUAUCAGGAGGAACACCGGUGGCGAAGGCGGGUCUCUGGGCCGAUACUGACGCUGAGGAGCGAAAGCGUGGGGAGCGAACAGG